rnacentral:rRNA from 1 species
UACGUAGGGGCUAGCGUUAUCCGGAAUUACUGGGCGUAAAGGGUGCGUAGGCGGUCUUUCAAGCCAGAAGUGAAAGGCUACGGAUCAACCGUAGUAAGCCUUUGAAACUGGGAAACUUGAGUGCAGGAGAGGAGAGUGGAAUUCCUAGUGUAGCGGUGAAAUGCGUAGAUAUUAGGAGGAACACCAGUUGCGAAGGCGGCUCUCUGGACUGUAACUGACACUGAGGCACGAAAGCGUGGGGAGCAAACAGGAUUAGAUACCCUGGUAGUCCCUGA